AGCCUCUGACUGGUCCUGGCUUAGUCAUUUGCACAGACUUAUUCAUAUUGAGAUUCAGGAAGAUGAUCCAGUGAAAGAUGAGUAACGUCCACCGAAGAAAGAAGAGUCGUUGUCUUGCUGACUUUGUGUCCAUACGUAUAUGGUGUGACCAGCUCAGAUCCUCACUGAUGUUAAUUCCAAGGAAUCUGAAGCAGCUGACUCUCUCUACUGCUGUGCCUCCAAUACAGAUGGGUGUGUACUCUUCCUGCUGUCUCCUGUAUUCCACAAUCAACUCAUUGGUUUUGCUGACGUUGAGCAGCAGGUAGUGUCUUGCACAACUUCAAACAGCGCAUUGGUAGCGCAUUUGAUCACAGUCAGUGCCGCAUUUGAAGGAAUCUGCUUGCACACGAGACCGUAUGGAACAGUUUGCAGAUUUAUGGCAUGAAAAGGCAGAGAAAAGCUGUUGCUCUCAAACACUGUCCACUUAAUCAACAGAGUCAGGUAUGAAGGAACAGAUUAAAUAGACAGAAGGUUUGCAAAGUGAUUUCAUGCUCCUUUUAAAGAGUAUUUUAGUAUUUUUAAAAUACAGUAGGCCUACUUUAUUUUGAUACAUGGUGUGGCUACUGUAUUUUGUGGUUUAUUUUGAUAGACUUAAGAUCAGGGUUAAUGUAUUUCUGCCCAUCCCUGACCGAUACCAAUCUGAUACCAUCACUAGUAGAGACAAUAGAAAUCUACCCCAGUGAAAUUGCAUGAUAUUCUGUUGGAAUAUCAUGCCAUUGGAAACGAGGCAUUCAUGAAAUUAUACCCUUAUGUGGUCAUUAUUUCUGCAAUUAAGGUAGAUUGUCAAUUACCUGGGCAUUUCUUGCCACCAGCCAGCAAAAGUGAGAGGUAUUUAUCAGGAGAUGCCAUGACACAGAUUAUUACAUCACACCUGCCAACAUCUGCAAAAAAAAAGAAUACCCUUCAUAUAAUACAUCCAAUG